UUGGCCUACUUUUAUGUCAAAAAAGUAUCCAGAAGAUUUAACCCCAGAAAUGAGAGAAGCUUUACAAAAUGAAGGUGGUGAUAGUUAUGACCAAUGCAAUGAAGAUGACAAAUCUGAAAAUUAUGCUGCCAAAGAUACGAGUAGCAUCCAAGAAGAUUCAAAUGAUGACGUGACCUCUCGAACAAAUGAAGUGCAUAACAUGGUUCAUGUCGAGCAGCAGCAACAACAAUCUGGCCAUAGAAGUCUUGGACGAACUCAAGUCCAUACAUCUGCACCACAUGAGCAAAC